rnacentral:rRNA from 1 species
AUGGAUAGAGGAGGAGACGGCUCUGAUCUGGAGCUGCAGAAGCAACAAUGGGCGAGGACGCAGGAUUUGCUCAGGGGUAGGCUCGUUCUUGAGGAUGAUUUCGAGUGGUCUUUACCUUCGGUGAGCUCGAAGUCAGACCAGAGUGAUGCCAGGGGCAAGCUGAAGUAUAUAGGCGGGGUUGACAUUAGCUUCCUGAAAGAAGACCCGUCUACAGCGUGUGCCGCGGUGGUGGUUCUGGAUGCCGAUACCUUGGAAAUCGUCCAUGAGGAGUUCGAUGUUGUCCGGAUGCAAGUGCCUUACAUUCCGGGUUUUCUUGCUUUCAGAGAGGCCCCCAUUCUUCUAGGACUCCUGGAGAAGAUGAAGAUCAAUGCUCAUCAUUUCUACCCUCAGUUACUCAUGGUUGAUGGAAAUGGGUUACUCCAUCCACGAGGUUUUGGUUUAGCAUGUCAUCUUGGUGUCCUUGCAGACCUGCCAACCAUCGGAGUUGGAAAAAAUUUGCACCAUGUGGAUGGUCUUGACCAAUCUGAAGUCAGAAAACAGCUUGAAGCAAAAGGAAACUGCAAUAAGGAAUGUAUUUCAUUGACUGGGCAGUCUGGGACGACAUGGGGAGCGGCAAUGUGUUCAUGCCCUGGUUCAUCGAGGCCAAUCUACAUCUCAGUUGGUCAUCGCAUUUCGCUCGACUCUGCCAUUGGGAUAGUGAAGUACUGCUGUAGAUAUCGUGUUCCAGAGCCUACACGCCAGGCUGAUAUAAGAUCGAAGGUAUUCCUCCAAAAGUACCAAAGAUUACAGCAGUAA